UACGUAGGGUGCAAGCGUUGUCCGGAAUUAUUGGGCGUAAAGAGCUCGUAGGCGGCUUGUCGCGUCGGAUGUGAAAGCCCGGGGCUUAACCCCGGGUCUGCAUUCGAUACGGGCAGGCUGGAGUGUGGUAGGGGAGAUCGGAAUUCCUGGUGUAGCGGUGAAAUGCGCAGAUAUCAGGAGGAACACCGGUGGCGAAGGCGGAUCUCUGGGCCAUUACUGACGCUGAGGAGCGAAAGCGUGGGGAGCGAACAGG
rnacentral:rRNA from 1 species